rnacentral:rRNA from 1 species
UACGGUGGUUAUAGCGUCAGGGAAACGCCCGGUUGCAUUCCGAACCCGGAAGCUAAGACUGACAGCGCCGAUGGUACUGCACUCGGGAGGGUGUGGGAGAGUAGGUCACCGCCGGAC